CUAAAUAGGAACAGAGACUCAGAGAGCAUAAAGUGGAAAAAUUGAAAACCCUAUUCUAGCAAGGAAGGGACCACGCCACUCCGCCUUCAGCUUCGGCAUCACGAAGGCUCUCUCUACUUCACUGCUUCAUCUUGGUGCCCCUCUACACUGACUCUGACUCUCCCUUUGCAAGUGGCUUCAACUUAACGAAGCAACAAAGGUCAUGCAAGAAGGGGCCAGGAAUAGGAAGAGCAAAAUGAGAAUAAGGUAAGAAUAAGAGAAAGAUAUCUUGGUCCAAAAAAAAAGAGUUAACAAGGAAGCGAUGGCAUAGGAGGAAAAGAUUAACGAGGCAGCGAUGACUUACGAAGAAAAGGUUAAUAAGCUUGUUAUCUCUCCUUUCUUGUAGUUACACACUUCGACAACAAUGGUAUGACCUUAUCGGUGUGGUGCGUUCAUCAUUUCCUCACCAUACAUCAACACAUCUUUUAGCUUUUGUCAUUUGUCCUUACUAUACAGUGACAUGUUCAUCAUCUUAUCAUUAGUAGCGUGACCUUGCUCUAGUGCAUGAGUCAUUUUUUUUUAUCUAUUGUUUGCUAGUUGGACUAGAUGGUGAUUCCUCUAUUAUUACUUGUUUGUGCAUGAGUUUUAUUUAUUUAUUUAUAUUUUA